AGUUAAAUUGCGUUAAAACGGCGUCAUUUUAAAAUUCCAUGGAUAAUUUUUUCUGGUCACCCCAGCGGCAAAAAUGAAAUUUGGCCGCGGCUCAAAUUUGACGAUUUGCACCAGGCACCCAGAAAUGCAGAAUUUUCAGCAAGCAACCACAAAAAUUAUUUAGCCCGGUCGAAAACCAUUAGCGAAGACAUCACAUAUCGAACAGUACGCAUAAAAAAUCCGCAUUGACAAGAGUACGGAUGAAAAUUACACUACGUCAGGUACAGUACGCAUGGAAAGUGUCGCAAAAAUUCACAAUCAUUUAUAUUCUUAAUUUAUUGUUGUUGUCGUCACACCUUCGUCGUGUCAGCUGUCGCUUGAUGCGCCUUCAAGAAUUCCACAGGCGCGUUAAAAUGUCAGCUUUGCAAAAAUUUACAAGUGACUACUCUAAAAUGUAAAAAUACACGAAUUUCACAGUUUUUCCGGAUAAAGAAAAUAGAAAUAUUGCAGUUAGGUGAGACGACUUUAAUAAUCCGUAUAAAUAAAAGUUUGUCAUUCUCCGAACUAGAAAAUCUAGAGUGGUGCAACUACGAAUACAAGUCGCGCCGUGCAUCAGCAGCAGAUUUUGGCAGGUGUCCAACCAUCAAUUCCAUGGACUUCAGCAUGGCGCUGCUAUUGGCUCCGGUUGCGCAGGCAAAACAGGAUCCUUCUUUAGCUAUAGAUCUGACAGCUUCAAAGCAAACAUUUCUUGUUCUCAAUUAGAAACAGCGGCAUCACCAAUGAACCAGCAGCCCAAUGAGCAUGUGCACGAGGAUGUCGAAUAAACGUCGUCCAAACUUACGCAAAUUAACUUGGCCAAGAGCCCGCAACAGGCGCCCGAAACCAUCUGGAUCGUACAAAGAUCUGCAUCAGCAACAAGAUGCCAGCAUAUCCUCAUCAUCCGUCAGGCCGGUACUAUCGAGAAGCUGAAAUCAGUGGCUUUCUUCACUUCAUACGACAACUUGGAAUUGAGUGUGGAUCAAGAAGAUAAUGGCGGUCAGCCGCAAGCGAGCGACACGAGUUCAUGCAAAAUGAAAAAAAAUUAUCUUAAAUACCGAACAGGAGCACAACAUCAACAAUAAGGAACAUUUCAGUUCUAUAUCAGGAACGCCAGCGAAAACAGCAACGUUUUUUACAGCAACAGUGACAAUGACCAGUGCUUAUCAUCCUCAUGCGACAAGUUGGAGUUGAGUGUGGAUCAAGAAGGCGGCACAGAUAAUGGGGCGAUA